UACGUAGGGUGCAAGCGUUUAAUCGGAAUUACUGGGCGUAAAGCGUGCGCAGGCGGUUAUGUAAGACAGUUGUGAAAUCCCCCGGGCUCAACCUGGGAACUGCAUCUGUGACUGCAUAGCUAGAGUACGGUAGAGGGGGAUGGAAUUCCGCGUGUAGCAGUGAAAUGCGUAGAUAUGCGGAGGAACACCGAUGGCGAAGGCAAUCCCCUGGACCUGUACUGACGCUCAUGCACGAAAGCGUGGGGAGCAAACAGG
rnacentral:rRNA from 1 species